CCCUUCUCAGGGUCGCACCUGGAGAGUUCCCAGCAAUUCUACUAGUCUUGACUACAGGAGGGAGAGUCAAGCAGAGGCAUACCCAUUCCAUUCCUAGCUUGGGUGGUGGCUAGCGAGUGGAAGACCAUCUGCUACAAGU
rfam:Ornithorhynchus anatinus chromosome 4, whole genome shotgun sequence.